rnacentral:lncRNA from 1 species
GCUGGCUGCUGCUGGCUGUCGUCAGCGAUGCCGCCGCCGGCCACAAGGUGGCAGUGCCGUGCUGCGUGGCUACACGCCCCUGGAAGCACCGGACCAGCCUUGGUCUGGCAAAAGUUUUCCAGUCUUUCCAGCAGAUGCGCCCAGGCCGUGAGCCCUCCCGGGCGGCCUGGAGGCAAGGGAUCGGGUGGGGGUGGGGUAGCCGCCGAUGUCCUGGGUGGCUUUGGGGGCGAUUUGCAAAGGCAUGCAUUUGUUGUUAAGAGCUCGGAGAAACAGUUUGGGGGAGCCUGUCACAGAUGCAAAGUCUGUUGAUAUUUCCAGGAGUGUUUGGUUUGGUUUGGGCUUUAGGGACCUACAGCAAGCAUCGAUUCUCGUGGAGGCGAACAACACUGACAGCUACUCUUUGUCUCUCGUCGGGAUUCUGAACAGAGCCCGACGUCGCUUCCAUUUCAGAGAUAUAUGCCGCUGACACUACCUUGAGAGAGCUCCUGCCUCCAUGGUUCCUGACCUGCCUAGAAGGGGAGGGCGCAGGAGACUCUUGUUCUACAGCUGUCCUCGGGAUGCCCUCAAUUCCCAGGCGCAGGGAUAAGCUUGUCUGACCCCAUUUGACCCCGCCGCAGGCGCCAGGCGUCCUCAUUUAUUGCGAGGCCUAAGAGUCCUCAAGGCUUACUGCCUGCCUACCCCCCUCCCCCACCACCCGCCGCUCUUCGUUUUUUGGUGUUUUGUUUUGUUUUGUUUUGUUUUUCCUCUCCUUGUCCUGUGCGGGAAUCAUAUGCCUCCUUCCUGUUGUCUAAGCUCCCCUCUUCCGUAGGCACAAACCUGCCCCCUCUGCGUUUUUUACCUUAAAACAGGUGUUCUGAGGAUUGUCUCUAGUUCUGGCGACGUCUUGAAAGAACUGAGUCUGAGCGAGGCAGACAGACGGCAGCAUUAGUGGUGAUGGAGCUGCACUGCUAAAUGUGGAGAUGGGAGGGGAAACACACCUGGGCUUCCACAGGGCAGGAGAAGAUCUGUCACUUGGGCAGAGCCUUUGAGUCGCACUCAGGUGAUCUCCAGGUAUGUCUACACUCUCCCACCUGUGCUCCGAGGAGAGGUGUAGACUAUCUCUUGGAUUUUGCUUGGAGGAUGUCCUUUCCGGACUCAGGACCUAGGAGAGACCAGCAGGAAACAGAACAGAGUCUACAUAGGUGAAUAUCAAAGAAUCACCUGGAGAGAUUUACAGGUGUGUCCUGGAUUUGGGGGAACCAUGGAAACACAGAGUCAGCUACCUGUUGUGGUGAAAGUGAAGUCAGGAGUGGGGAAGGGUGGGGAGGGAGAGGGGUGAGGAGGGAGAGGGGUGGAAGGGCUGCUAAACAGUCUCUGUUUCCAAGAGUUAGCAAAACACAGAUGUACUAACCUCCCUUGGGUUACUAGAUGUACUAACACUCCCUUCAUCAGAGUGAGUGGCCUCCUAGUAGAAUAGGUUGGCUAUGCCACGGAACCAUUUUUAGGAGAUGUCCAGCAAUGGGGAGAGAAUUGAAAACCCCACAAGAUUAUUCCCCCAGGAGUGAGCCAGCAUGGAUGCAUUGCCAUAUUCCAGGUAUAUCACCACUCAGGCACAGUUGAACCUACUAGACCUACUGUGGUCUGAAUGUUGUUUCCCAUUCCCUAAUGUAUGUUGAAACCCAAUAUAUAAUGUGAUCAUAUUAGGAGGUGCGGUCUCUGGAGAUGUGAUUCAGUUAUGACUCAGAUACGCCCUUAUAAAGGAGGUGAUUGAAAAGGGUUGUCUUGGCCCCUUCAGUCAUGUGAGGAACACCCACACGUCACCACCUAUUCAGCAAGGAGUGGGCCCUCACCAGGCACCAAAUCUGCUAGCACCUUGGUCUUCAAAUUCUCACCCUCCAGAACAGCGAGUGAGCAAUACAUUCUCUGCUCUUCAAGUUUCCCCGAUUAAGGUGUUUUAUUACAGACAACAGACUGGGACAAAAGGCCUGAGUCACAGACCAGUGAUUGGCAAAACAGAGAAGCUGAAGCAACUGUACAGCAAGCAGGAGCUCACACACGGGAGCCUACCUCUGGGAAUGCCGAGAAGUCAAUGCAAUGGUCACAUCUCAGGUUGUCUGGACACACAGACGGUUCACAAAUCCCGGGAUGGACCAGGAAGGCCAUUCAGUGAGAUUGUGUUGAACUGGGGAGUGGUGACAGUAAACAUUGACAUUAUGGUCCUACAUACAUAUCAUACGUUCCAUUAGUGUCCUACAUAAGUUAUAACCUGCUUACUCCUCCCAGUGCCCUUGAGAGAUCAGCCUGCUAAUUCCCACUCCAGAGUCAGGGAAGCUAAGUGCUGGGGACUCAGGAAACUUGACUGCGUUUAUAGCCAGUGAGUGGCAAAGCUGAUGUUUGAAUCCGUGUUUCGUGUUUCAGAGUCUUGGGAAGCUACGGUUUUUGUCCAUGGUGAGUCCUUGUUCUAUUCUUGACCAAACCUGGCCCAACUUUCAGGCCCUACUCCAUCACGCAGUUUCCUGUCUACAGUGUCCCCUGCUUCACUGUGUUUCAGGGGCUGAGUUGCUACACCACCCUAGAUGGUGGGCUGAGGGGCCUCUUCUGAUGAACUCCCUUCAGAAUGCAUUCCCUUCACAUCUGUUACCUCUUGCGGUGUGGGUCGCUGCUCUGUGGAAGUUGGACAGAACCCUUGGAACCUCCCGUGUGAUUCUGAAGUCUAGUGCAAACUCCAGUCAGUAAACUAAGAGAAACCAUUUUUAGUCAAAGGAAGCAAGGAACACUCCAACCAGCCCAGACUGACUUUCUUCUGUGGUUAAAAAUCUGGAUCUCCAUGUAAUUGCAACUGGGAAGAUCCUGCUGGAAGAUGUGCCAAGGUAGCCCCACAUGUUCCAAAGGGAUCGAAACUCAUUUGGAAGGGUAUGUUCUGAGAGAGAGAGAGAGAGAGAGAGAGAGAGAGAGAGAGAGAGAGAAGAAGAAGAAGAAGAAGAAGAAGAAGAAGAAGAAGAAGAAGAAGAAGAAGAAGAAGAAGAAGAAGAAGGAAGAACAACAAGAACAACAAGGAAGAAGAAGGAGAAGAAGGAGAAGGAGGAGAAGAAGGAGGAGGAGGAGGAGGAGGAAGAAGGAGAAGAGAGAGAAUUUCUUCUACUACUUCUUUAUAUUUAUGUAUUUAUUCUCUUUUGCACUUAGUGUGUAACUUGGUGCCUUACAUAAACCAUGGAAUAAUUAGGCUUUCUUCAGGAUGUAAGGAAAUUCCCUACAUCAGAGGACCUUACUAUCCAAGCUAAGGUAAGAAUGAAGUCCCAGCCGCAAGGGUGAUGGAAGGGAGACGAUGAAGAUAACAUAUGGUGGGAACAUCUCCAGGGAUGAUGGGAGAUACGGCUACAAAUGCUGCAUCCUAGGAGGAUGAAUUCUUUUCCUGUCUGCCAGUGAUCUCAGUUUUGUCAAUCAUUUCCAUGUACCCUCCCACUUCCUACAACUGCACUUAAGCCUUAGAAGAAAUAGGACAGGCAGUCUGGACAACGAGUGACACCAGGGAGUCCCUAGGUGUGUAUUUCCUUGUAUGUCUCUGUAAGUGUGGUCCCCAGCAUCCUAAUGGUUUGAUUUUGGCAGUAACUGGCUUUCUUAGGCACACCACCACUGUCGUUGUGGCAUGCUCACUAAACAUGGACUCCCUGUUCUUUGCUAAUCAAAUCUACCUGUAUACUCAGAAAUGCCACGAGUAGUCUAAGGCAGGCAUUGGCUAUGCCUACCUGUCACCUCUUUGGGAAAAAUAAAGUUUUAUUAGAACACAGGCAUGUGUAUGUUUUCCUAUUGUCUAUGGCUAUGUUCAUGCUGUGAGAGCAGAAUUGAGACUACAUGGAUACAAAAAGUAAACUAUUAAUUAAUUGGUCUUUUACGGAAAACAUUUUUAGAUCUUUGAUCCAGAGCAUCCAUAGACAUUUUAUUUCCCUAUACCAAGUCAGUGUUAGACACGUAAAUACUUUGACCAUGGAAAUAAAAGGUAAAUUUGCUGGAAAUAUCUGAGAAAAAAAUCUUUUUUCUUAAUAAGAAAGGGGAAUGUGAGAAGAGAGCUUACUUUACAUCCUGUCAUGUGAGGACUUGAUGUCUGGAGCUGUGGCAGCCAUAUUAUGAUCAUGAGGGGGAAAAAAAAACCCACACAAACCUGAUUCUCCAAUAAUAUCAUGUAACGAGGCAAAGAAACCCGAGUGAGUGUGAAUUGUAUGUCACGGGCAUGGCCACAUCAAGGACUAGUGUCUCACACUCAUGGGAAUGGCAAAGGCUUCACCUAACUUCUGGGGUGCCAUCCUCAGAGGUAUGGCAGAGCCGGCCCCCUGAUCUGAGUGUGCAUGUUGACAGUGUGUCCAAGUGCAAAUGUUUACAAAUGAUGGCCAUUUCGUCCUCCCAGAUGUUUGUAGCUGGAGCCUACUCACCUACAGAGACCUCCUACAGAGGGGCUCUGCCCUGGCCUUUUGGGAUUCAGAGCUGAGGCGGGACACAGAGUUCGACAAAGCCAGAAGACUGAUAAUCUCAGACCUAACUGUACUGGGAGCUGGGAGCUGGGAGCUGUUGGCUUCAGGAAACUUAACCCUCUCUUGUUUAUUCUAUGGCCGAAAACUGCUGACUUCUUUUCGCUUUAACUCUGUGCUCUGGAGAAACUUAACUCUUUGUGCUUAAAUAAGCACUGGGGGUCACUUAACUCUUUGUUACUAUUCUGUGCUUUAAUAAACGCUG